rnacentral:rRNA from 1 species
CAGAAGGUGCGAGCGUUAAUCGGAAUUACUGGGCGUAAAGCGUGCGUAGACGGUUAUUUAAGUCGGGUAUGAAAGCCCCGGGCUCAACCUGGGAAUUGCAUUCGAGACUGAAUAGCUAGGGUACGGUAGAGGGAAGUGGAAUUUCCGGUGUAGCGGUGAAAUGCGUAGAUAUCGGAAGGAACAUCAGUGGCGAAAGCGACUUCCUGAACCAGUACCGACGUUCAGACACGAAAGCGUGGGGAGCAAACAGGAUUAGAUACCCUGGUAGUCCACGCCAUAAACGAUGAGGACUAGACGUUGGAGGGGUAAGCCCUUCAGUGUCGUAGCUAACGCGCUAAGUCCUCCGCCUGGGGAGUACGGCCGCAAGGUUG